rnacentral:lncRNA from 1 species
UUUUUAUAAGCGAUCCCCGUAGAUGAAUUGAGAGCAAAAGCAGAGAAUUUAAGAUCUGGGUGUUUGGUUGGUUGGUUUUUUUUUAAAUCUUUUCCUGCCAUAGGUUAAAAUACUUGCAUGAUUCUGCAACCUGAAGCAGUGCUCGCACGUGGAUUCCUGCUCAGCAACUUCUGAAAGCUGCUUAAAAGAGGGCUUUGUGUCAGAUUUGGUGCAAUUUGGCAAAUAAAAUGAAGAACAGAGUAUUUACCAUUCAAUGAUAGCAAGCAAUAUUCUAGUGGAAUUGAGGCAGAAGUGGAACUUGUGAAUUUGGGCACGACUGCUCCCGGAGGGCAAAAGUCUACAAGCCAUCACCCUGCUCUGCUGCUGCUACAACCUACUGCUGGGGCUCCGCCUGCACGUGCUUCCAGAGGCAGCAACCCAGCCAAGCAUUAAGAUUGCCUGCAGCAUAAUGCCAGCUGUCAUCUGACUGCAACCCCAUUCAGGGCAGAGGCUGU